GCUUACUCUCUCUCUGUCACC
rnacentral:miRNA from 3 species